AAUUCUUUGAAGGCAUGCUUUUCGAUUAGGUUUUUUACCUAAUUGUUUUGCUGUCUUUCUAUGCGAUGAUCUCUUACAUGAUAUGUUUCCUUUUGGUCGUAUUAUGUAGGGCAGCUGGUGUUUUCUGACGUGUUUAAUUUCAUCUAUUAUAUUACAACUGUGGUGUCGUUUGAUGACAUAGAUGUAAUUUCUAGAUGAAGUUGUGUCAUGUUUUAGCGUAGAUUUUAGUGAAUAAAUGAAACGAUUUCAAAUUCCG